AACUAACGCUGGCGGCGUGCCUAACACAUGCAAGUCGUACGAGAAAGUCGGCUUCGGCUGAUGAGUAAAGUGGCGCACGGGUGAGUAACGCGUGGAUAAUCUGCCCUUAAGUGUGGAAUAACGUACCGAAAGGUGCGCUAAUACCGCAUAAUACUGAGUGACUACUGUUGCUCAGUCAAAGAAGGCCUCUGUUUACAAGCUUUUGCUUUAGGAUGAGUCCGCGUACCAUUAGCUAGUUGGUCGGGUAAUGGCCUACCAAGGCGACGAUGGUUAGCUGGUCUGAGAGGAUGAUCAGCCACACUGGAACUGAGACACGGUCCAGACUCCUACGGGAGGCAGCAGUGAGGAAUAUUGCGCAAUGGGGGCAACCCUGACGCAGCAACGCCGCGUGAGUGAGGAAGGUUUUCGGACCGUAAAGCUCUGUCGAGCGGGAAGAAAUGCAUGGUGGCUAAUAUCCAUCAUGCUUGACGGUACCGCUAAAA
rnacentral:rRNA from 1 species